rnacentral:tRNA from 1 species
GCAUGUGGCUCAGUGGUAGAGAGCUUGUCUGUUAUGCAUGAGGAGCUGGGUUCAAACCCCAGCACUGCA